rnacentral:rRNA from 1 species
UGCAAGUCGAACGCUGAAGGAGGAGCUUGCUCUUCUGGAUGAGUUGCGAACGGGUGAGUAACGCGUAGGUAACCUGCCUGGUAGCGGGGGAUAACUAUUGGAAACGAUAGCUAAUACCGCAUAACAGUAGAUGUUGCAUGACAUUUGCUUAAAAGGUGCAAUUGCAUCACUACCAGAUGGACCUGCGUUGUAUUAGCUAGUUGGUGGGGUAACGGCUCACCAAGGCGACGAUACAUAGCCGACCUGAGAGGGUGAUCGGCCACACUGGGACUGAGACACGGCCCAGACUCCUACGGGAGGCAGCAGUAGGGAAUCUUCGGCAAUGGACGGAAGUCUGACCGAGCAACGCCGCGUGAGUGAAGAAGGUUUUCGGAUCGUAAAGCUCUGUUGUAAGAGAAGAACGAGUGUGAGAGUGGAAAGUUCACACUGUGACGGUAUCUUACCAGAAAGGGACGGCUAACUACGUGCCAGCAGCCGCGGUAAUACGUAGGUCCCGAGCGUUGUCCGGAUUUAUUGGGCGUAAAGCGAGCGCAGGCGGUUAGAUAAGUCUGAAGUUAAAGGCUGUGGCUUAACCAUAGUACGCUUUGGAAACUGUUUAACUUGAGUGCAAGAGGGGAGAGUGGAAUUCCAUGUGUAGCGGUGAAAUGCGUAGAUAUAUGGAGGAACACCGGUGGCGAAAGCGGCUCUCUGGCUUGUAACUGACGCUGAGGCUCGAAAGCGUGGGGAGCAAACAGGAUUAGAUACCCUGUUAGUC